GCCGAGGUGGCGGAGUGGUCAAUCGCACCUGUCUGUAAAACAGGGGCCCAUGCGGCUGCGAAGGUUCGAACCCUUCCCUCGGCA
rnacentral:tRNA from 1 species